CUAUCAUACCGAAGCAGAAUUCGGUAAGCGUUGGAUUCACACGGGACGUGAGCUGGGUUUAGACCGUCGUGAGACAGGUUAGUUUUACCCUACUGAUGAGGGUUAUCGUAAUAGUAAUUGAGGGUAGUACGAGAGGAACUGCUCAUUCAGAUAAUUGGUAUUUGCGCCUGUCCGAUCGGGCAAUGGCGCGAAGCUAUCAUCUGCUAGAUUAUGGCUGAACGCCUCUAAGUCAGAAUCUGUACUAGAAACGAUGAUGUUGGUCCCGCACGUGUUAGUUGUGUCAUAAUAGGCUUCGGCUGUGAACCAUACUUGGGUCCGGUCGGCAAGGCGGAAAUGUCUUGUCGGCUCCCUUGAUUAAAUGAAAUAUGGGCGGGGGUGAAUCCUUUGCAGACGACUUGAAUUGAACUGGGUGCUGUAAGUAGUAGAGUAGCCUUGUUGCUACGAUCUACUGAGGCUAAGCCCGUGUUCUACAGAUUUGU
rnacentral:ncRNA from 1 species